CUUUCAGAUACGGAUGAAUAUAGACCUCCAGUUUGGAAAUCUUACUUGUACCAGCUGCAGCAGGAAGCUCCUCACCCUCGGAGGAUGACCUGUACUAGUGAGGUAGAAAACAGACCAAAGUAUUAUGGAAGAGAGUAAG